rnacentral:lncRNA from 1 species
UAGUGUGAAGACAUCGAAGUGAGAGUAUAGGUAUUUAUUGAGAAUGAGAGUACUAAGCGUGACCACCUGGAGCAGUCAUAAGAAAGUCUACCUUCUCGUCGAUGACUAGCUCGAUGCUGCAGUUGUGUGUCUAGUUCUUUGACCUGAGGUGCAUCGAUAAUUCACCUUGAGUGUGUUAUAGUUUGACUACACCAUAACUCGAUCUCCUAGCCAUUCGAAAUUCUGGGGUGUAUGUUGGCUGUAGCAUAUUCAUUGUAGGAACUAGGUUGCAC